rnacentral:rRNA from 1 species
CGCCUCUUGAAUAGAUAUAAGAGGUCCAGCCUGCCCAGUGACCAUGUUCAACGGCCGCGGUAUCCUAACCGUGCGAAGGUAGCGUAAUCACUUGUUCUUUAAAUAAGGACUAGUAUGAACGGUUCCACGAGGGUUAUACUGUCUCCUCUUUCUAAUCAGUGAAACUAAUCUCCCCGUGAAGAAGCGGGAAUAAGAAUAUAAGACGAGAAGACCCUAUGGAGCUUUAAACUAUAAAGCAAUUGCCCCUAUAUAAUCAAAUUUCAGAAAACCACUAUUACCAAGGCAACAUGACUCUUAGUUUUAGGUUGGGGUGACCGCGGAGCAAAAAAUAACCUCCACAUUGAAAGGAGCCAACUCCUUAGCCGAGAGCCACAUCUCCACGCACCAACAAAAAGACAUUAAUUGACCCAAUAUUUUGAUCAACGAACCAAGUUACCCUAGGGAUAACAGCGCAAUCCACUUCAAGAGCUCCUAUCGACAAGUGGGUUUACGACCUCGAUGUUGGAUCAGGGUAUCCCGGUGGUGCAGCCGCUACCAAAGGUUCGUUUGUUCAACGAUUAAAACCC